CUCACCUUCACUGGAAUUACUGAGGAUUACGGGAAUUACAGCAGCAGCUCAGCAGCAGGAAGGAAGCUGCCAGAACAACAAGCAUGCGCAUCCAGAAAUUUCAAAAUCAGCAAAAGCUAACAUGCCCAUCUGCUAAAUGGACUCACGGAGAUGCUUGGCUGGUUCCUGACUUGCAGGAUUAAUACACGUUGAGAUGAAACUGACUUCCCACCAGAAUGUAAGUAACUGUCUCUAUUUGACACAGUUGCCGACUAAUGAUUAAUGAUUCAGAAGUCUUAACUCUAUAAAUUAGGUUGAAAUUGCCCGAAUGGUGUCAUAAGUUAGUAGUGAAAGGACUGGAAUAGACACAAGUAGAUAGAUGGUACAAGUUACAUGUUCUAGUUCUGCUAGAAAAUGGAGAUUUAUCACAGAAUCACAGAAUGGCUUGUGUUAGAAGGGACAUUAAUAAUUAUCAAGUUCCAAGCCCCUGU